UAGGGAAUCUUCGGCAAUGGGGGGAACCCUGACCGAGCAACGCCGCGUGAGUGAAGAAGGUUUUCGGAUCGUAAAGCUCUGUUGUUAAGGAAGAACGAGUGUGAGAAUGGAAAGUUCAUACUGUGACGGUACUUAACCAGAAAGGGACGGCUAACUACGUGCCAGCAGCCGCGGUAAUACGUAGGUCCCGAGCGUUGUCCGGAUUUAUUGGGCGUAAAGCGAGCGCAGGCGGUUAGAUAAGUCUGAAGUUAAAGGCAGUGGCUCAACCAUUGUAGGCUUUGGAAACUGUUUAACUUGAGUGCAGAAGGGGAGAGUGGAAUUGCAUGUGUAGCGGUGAAAUGCGUAGAUAUAUGGAGGAACACCGGUGGCGAAAGCGGCUCUCUGGUCUGUAACUGACGCUGAGGCUCGAAAGCGUGGGGAGCGAACAGG
rnacentral:rRNA from 1 species